rnacentral:lncRNA from 1 species
ACAAGGAAACUAACCUGAGGCAGGACCGUGGCACUGAAGGAGUCUCCCUGGAUGCAGCAAAGGUGGAGACCUUGUCCAAGAAAAAUGCUGGACGGGCCUUUACCCCAAAGAGGAAAGCUGGGUCAUGGAACAAGGAAAUGAAUUACAUCAAGUGAAAAUGCACAUCUGAUGCCCAGUCCAGACCAAGGCAUGUACGCUUCCAGAGGCACGCUAGCAUGCUGGCACCCCUUCAAACUAUUAUUCUUUGCAUAUUUUGUUUGUUCAGCGUGUAUCUAGUUAAAAAAAAAGAGAGAGAGAGAAGAAGAAGAAGAAAUAAAAAAAUGAAAGGGAAAAAAUGCUUUUUGAGAGGAGGAAGGGGUAAGCUUUUUUGAAACAUAACACAUACGGGAAAGAGCAUAUAUCUUGAUGUGCAGCUUGGAGCAUUCCUCCAAAGUGAACACGCCUAUGUUCUCAGCACCCAGACCAAGAAACAGAAGACAGAAGUCCCCCAGGCUCUC